CACACACACACACACACACCGAAUGCACUCUGACGAGCAAAAAUCUCACCAUCAUGAUCCGCCGUGAUGACUCACUAAACUAUGGGGGAGGAAUACCUGACUCAUCAGAAAGCUCCACCGGUGCCAACACUUCGUCCUGCAGCCUCUCUAACCAGUCCCACACACACACACACACACACAUGCGCACACACACUGCGUAUAUACUCUGUACAUGCACACGUGCACGCUCCACCAACACCAACACCAACUAUCCCACCAACACACACAUGGAACCUACAGAUGGAUACCAAGUUUUUCUGCUCAGAUCAUCCUUGGUGGGAUGAAGGUGAGGAACCAGGGGACACCAGAACCGUGCAGAACCGUGCAGAUGUGUGUCGUCUCUUAUGUAUUUAAGAGUAGCAUUCUCAGGCCUUGCCCUUGUCAGAAGGCCGUUGCCAUGGCAACGAAUCGCCAAAACAAAAACACAGCUGAGAACUCUUACUAUACAAAACCCCAUGCUGUAAUAAGUGUGUGUGUGUGUGUGUGUGUGUGUGUGUGUGUGUGUGUGUGUGUGCAAGAGAGAGGCCAUGUACAUGCUUAAGAGAUGCUCAUCUUUGUGUAAAGCUACAAGGUACAAAACAAGAACUGUAACUAAAGUACCGUUUUUAAAGCGUGCCUUAUGUUACCUGGAUAAGGACUGACAAGGACCCAUUUCGGAAGCAAAGAACCUCUGAUUAUCAAGUUACACCCUGAGGAACAAUUUUAUUCUGGACGUUCACUUUCCCAUCUAGCCCCCUGAAGCGUUUUGGGGGAACCCUUACAGGUUCUAUGUAGAACCUCUAAAUGUAGAACCCCUUUAAUCUACCCUUUAAGACUACUAAACGCUCUUUUCAAACCUUCGAGGCUGAGAGAAAGAGAAAAAAAAAAAAAAAAAAACAACUCCCACACACUAAAAACUCCUACAAACAACUCAGAAGAUGGACAAUAGCAGGAGAAAAAUGUACAAGAAGGGGUUUCCUUAAAAUGUUCCUGGUUCUUCAGUGGAAAUUACACGCGGUAUUAGACAUCAGGGUUCUCUCUCGGCCUGGAGACACGGCUCCGCUCUCCAUCUGCCCCGCCGCAGGCCUGAACGUUAGUGCUGGGUUAUUAAUUCACCUGCAGCACUGUCGUGUCUCCCGAGCCAUUGCAUAUCCCCCCCCCCCCCCCUCUUGUUUUAUAAUCCUGCACAGACGGAGCGCUUUAGACACCGCUUCACGUUUUUACGCACGAUGGUCGAUUUCACGCGCGAUUAUGCGAGUAAUACGUGUUCACCAUGUUAUGGAGUAACUGCUUGUGACAUUAUGUAAACAAUGUGGGAUCGCAGGCAUCUAAUUAACGGGGAAAAAAAUUGUCAGGUCAGAAAAAUAUGAAGCGGGGCGGGGCGGGGGGGUUCACGUGAAAUAUAAAAACAUGCUCUACACGUGAAAUAAUAAUGUGAGAAUGAAUAGGGGGAAAAAAUCUCAUGUCAAAAUACAAGAAUCAUGGUGGGGGGGGUGGGGGGAUCAUGUGAAACAAACACAUGCACUGUUAAAAUAAAUGAAUCAUGUGUAAAAAAAAAAUAAUAAUAAUAAUAAUAAAAAUGGAAGAAGCAUAUGAAAAAAAUGAAAAUGAAGAAAUCAUGUGUAAAAAGAAAAAAAAAAGAAAACCCUGCUGGAAAAAAACCCAAAAAACAAUAGAAACCUUCAUAAAAUUUGUAAUGGUUUUAAUGCUUAUAAUGGGAAUUGUAUAGGUUUUAAUGGAAAUUGUAAUGGUCCCUAUAUGUCUCUACUGGUAUUUUAUCUUCCUUCUAUUGGUGGCUUGUUAUGUCUAGUGGAUACCAUUAAGGACCUACAUCCUUAACCUUAAUACUUCCUAAUAUGUAAUGGAAACCAUUUGGUAAUGGGUUUUAAUGGUUAACAGCUAAUGGUUUGUAAUGGUAUUUGUAGUUGAAACCAUUAGAAUUUCUCUGAAGGUUUCUAUUGUUUUUUUUGUUGUUGUUGUUUUUGUUUGUUUGUUUUUCCGAACAGGGAAACAAAACAUUACACUACACGUGAAAAUGUUUGAAACAUAACGUCCAACCGAGGUGUGAAAAUCUCCUGUGUGAAUCCUGUGAUUAUUCAUUUGUGUGACUUUUCCCGGUACUGGAUCUCAAAACCUCAAAAUUGGCAUCAAAUCUAGAGCAAGUUGAUCACAGAUAAGAGAAGCAAUAAAUCUAAUCUAAUCAAAUACAAUACAGAAAGCACACACACACACACACACACACACACACACACACACACACACACACACACACAAAACAUGAAGAAAUGAUAGAACUAAUAACAAAUCAAAACACAACAUGGUUUUCUGGGAAACAGAUCCUCUCUUGGUCCAAAACAGAACAGCGUGUUUUAAUGAAUAAUUAAUGAUGUUACAGCACACCGAACCAUGCCAGUGUCAAUAUAACACCGGCCGUGAUGGGAAAAGCUCAGGAUGAACCGAUCGACCGAGCCGAAGCAGAGCCAAACUCAGCCGAUCCAUCUCACAUGAAGUGCAGCAAACUUGCAUCAUACGCUUUAUUUACCAAGCAAUACUUACGUCUAUUUCUGGUGGCCAGCAUUGACACAAACACUCUCCUGCCUCGAACGAUAAAUUUACUGACUCUUUUUUUUUUUUUUUUUUUUUUCAGCGAACAUACAGAGCUAGUUAACAAAAUCAACAAGCCAAGACCCUGCUAUGAUUUAAACAGGAGAUAAGUGCCAUGAUAAAUAUUACUUCUCUGCUGUAAAAUCUCCUCACAUCCACUCAGACCGUUCCACACUGAGAGAAACCUGUACCCCCACCCCACCCCACCCCUCCCGUCCUCUCUCCUCCCCACCCCACCAUCAUUACCCAGUGAAGCACAACAACAAAAAAAAACAUGCUCUCUUACCUGGCUGUUAGCUGUUUCACCCAAGCAGCAUGUUUACACCACAUAUGUAAAGAUAGUACCUUUUUUUUUUUUUUUUUUUUAAAAAAAAAAAGUUAACAUACAAUCCUAUAACUCGAAAAACCAAUUCAAAAGCUGCUGAACUUUCUUCACAGCUUCUUUGCUAACUUCUUUGCUAACUUUCCUCCACUCAGGAUUUCUAGUACUAGCUAUCUUUGCUGGUCCUGUUUUUAGACACUACAAAAUUCCCGGACUUUUUUUUUUUUUUUUUUUUUUGUCCCCCUCCUCUGUUAAUUUAGCACGAAAUAAAUAUCUUAAAGCUGUAAGGAAUUGUGCAGGAAUGUAGCAAAGGACGUAAGAGACGUCUAUAUUGUGUGAGUCUUAGGAGAGCGUUAACACGAACUGCUAGUGUGUGCCGCCUGAUGGCUUUAUUUAUCGCAGUAAAUGACUAAGGUGAGUCUCACUUGGUGAAUCAGCAGGUGUCAGAUCUCGGCAGCAAAGAAACAGCAAAGUUGAGUGGGCACACACACACACACACACGUACACACACACACACACACAUACACACACACUUUUGUAGUCUCUGAGGAGCACUCCACCUUUGCUAGCGCUAUGUGGGCUGAUUCCAGAGGCACCCACUGAAGAGGCAUGAUUCACCCAACCCUCUGUUCAUGUUCGUGUGUGUGUGUGUGUGUGGUAAAUAAAUGUAAAACAGUGAUUAGCAUGUUGCUGCCUCUAACUCUCUCUGCCCAAGACACAGCUCUUCUUAAUAUCCAUCAGAAAGCCCUGAUCCACCCCGUCGAACCUGUCAAGCUGAGGUUAGACGUCUCAGUGAAAUGUAUCAUGGGUAAUCCUUUAAUACGCACUGUCUGCUUCUACACUUAGUACGUCAGACAUCGACCACAGGAGGUUUGAAGCAUCUGUGGGAAAGUCUCACUGCCUGGUAAUCAAAAUCAUUACUUUGUCACAGGUGGACAAAUCAUAACAAAUUCAUUAGCUAGACCACUGGAUAAUUCGAAGCUCAGGAAACUAAGCGACAAAGCUAUAAAGUUGUUGCUGACGUAACGUAAUAGCAUAUGGUGAGAGUUAGGUAGAUAUGCGCAUUAAUACUGACACAAACGGGUAUAUAAAUGUCUGUGAAGGAGAUGACUGGGCCUUUUCUAAGAAUGUUUUUUUUUUUUUAAAGUAGCACAUUGUGCUUGUUUAAAAAAAAAAAAAUUAAAAAUGUCAGCAAGUCAUUGGCCAACAUUUGGCUUUGAGCGGUGGUGUUUUCUCACAUAAGAGAUAUUAUUCAAUCAAACCAGCAUGUUUAUUUUCUUCCUCCAAGAGGUUUCACUUUCUUGCCAAAUGAUAAAGGCUGAAAAAAGGCACGGAAAUAGCUUAUAUUUGGAAAAUCUCUAAUGGUUCCUCUCAUAUUAGUGGCCGUAAUGGGAAUCUGGAAUGGGCUUAAAGGUUUCCAUUUGGAAUUUUAUGGUUACUAUGAAACACAGCCAGAACCCACCCUGCUGGAAAAACAAAACCCCGAUAGAAACCAUCACAGAAAUUAUGAUGGCUUCCAUUACAAAUACCAUUACAAACCAUCAGCUAACUAUUAACACCAUUACUAUUACGAUUAUUGGUUUUUAAAUGGUAUCCACUAGACAUAACAUGCCAUCAAUAGAAGCCAACAGAUUACCAAUAGAGACCCACAAGGACAUUACAGUUUCCAUUAAAACCAAUACAAUUCCCAUUACAAAUUCUAUGACGGUUUCUGUUGUUUUUUUUUUUUUCCUCAGCAGAGCAAUAUGGCCUUCUUUCAUGGGUUGAAGAUUACUAAUUACUACCCAAAUAACAUAAUAUAAUCCAUCAGGAACCACUAGGAACAUCACAUUCCAUUAAACUACAAAAACCCACUAGAAAUGCGUUCUAAUUAUUAUUUUUUUCAGCAAGAUAGUACUUUAAAAAGACCCGUUAACAGGCAGACAUAUACUUCAGACUCAUGAACAACCAAAAGCAAUUAAAUAAACAUUUAAUAAUGUUCAGUGCUUUUUUUUUUUUACACAACGUUGGCAGCUCUUUUCCAUUCUGUAAUCCUGGCUAAUUUGGCUACACUCUCCGAAAUGGCUAAAUCGAGCAUCAUAAGGGAAUUUUUUAGUCUGUCCUUUCGGGGGAAGCCUUUGUUAGAGAGGGAUUUUCCUUAUGCAGAAGGUUUGUAUAAGGAAGACGGAGUGUGUGUGUGUGGGGGGGGGGGGGUGUAUUUACAAAGCCAGAGCACUUAAAUGUAUGAAGAACCUUUCAGUAAUCGUUAAAUUUUUCUAAGAGUAUAACCCUGCAUUAGACAGGACUCUACAGGGCUUAGUUGUUCCUCAGACUGAGAAGUUGGUUACGUAUCCCAAACUCUAAUACAUGUCAGAAACACGUUGUGUAAAUGAGAUGCUUCUCCUGCUCCUGUGGAGGCCUAAGUUCCAACCUGGAAUGCACAUGCUGCUGGAGCAAAAGUCACAAAACCAAACAGACGCUGUCCAGAGGAUACAAGAAGGAGCAGUACAAUGAGUCAUAAACAAGCAUCCAUGGUGUGUGUGUGUGUGGUGGGGGGGGGGACCCCAGCCUGUAUAUUCAUUCUGCAUUAUGUAAUAGUAAAUGUGAACUACAUCUGCAGCUGAAUCAUGAGCAGCGGUCCAUGCGUCUCAUGGCAACAGCAAUUAUUUAUUCUAUUAAUAACGCCGCUCAUACAUACACCACCAUGCCCUUUUAUUUUGGAUUGUUUGUAACGCACUCUACAUUCUAUCACAUGCAGCCACAUUCAGGCACCAAAUAGACCAAGUGAAAGGUUAAUUACGAAACACGAACAUCUUCCCUGCUUAAUUUUAUGUUGUGACACGUAUUGUAUUUGCUCGUGAUUGAAAGACCCGAGGUCUACUUAUGUUAAAUGUCGAGUUUUGUUCCACUGCUCCAGAAAGUUCCCGUUUCAUAUUUCUUUCCCCCGUAUUCUCCCUAAUUUAGUCCUGGCCAAUUCCCAGCCUCCAGCCAACUCUUCCCUAACAGCUACGAUCCGCAAAGGGUGAAGUCCUUGAUACAAACUGCCCCUCGUGCUGUGUCACGGGGCGACGGAGGAACGCUCUAUCUACCUUCUUCCGCAUACACGAGCUCACAGACGUCCACGAUUGGCUAGUAUUCCUGUGAUUGACAGGCGAGAGAGAGAAUUCCAUCCCUCCCACUUAGAGGUUCCAGACUUACUUCCUGUACUAACAAAAAAGCCCCGCCUCUGGACUUCAUCGGCUGCUCGCUCUCGACCGAGCCGAAACUCGUUACGGCAGUGGGCGUUUCCUUUUUGAAACACGCUGACAGCGGUAGACCAAUCACAACAGACCGGGACGUCUGACCAAUCAGAGCAGAGUAUGCUCUCUGAACAGAGGAGUUUAGAACGAAUCCUUUAGAACGGAUCAUCGAACGAAUCGUUUUAGACACGGGGGGGUAACGCUGCAGUUUAAAUUACGAGCACGUUAAAGUGUUUUUUGAUCUCGGAUGCGUGUAAAUCCAUCGUAUGAGACCUUUAAAACAAAAUUAGGCACGUCUCAAAACCAUAAUAGGUGCGCUUUAAGGUCUUGCCAUCAUAUCUUAAGCUCCUGGCAAAAGAAACCAGAUUGGCGUAAACAUCCUGGCACUUAGCAGAAUGUAUGAUUUUUUAUCAGUCUUCAUAAGAGCCCAUGGACUACGCUAAUCAUAAACAGCCGGCAAUUCAUCAACGAUCCACCUCCAGUGGGUUGGGAAGCUUUUCCAAAAUGGCACGCAGCCAUUUUCAUGCAGCAGGUUAGAUCUUUAUAAGCGCAUUUCUAUUAGCCCAAGUCUCAUGAUGAAAUUCUGUUUUAACAUUAUAAUAAGAAUUUACAAAACGUCAUAAGAAUGAACAAAAGCUCGUUUUCAAGAUAGAAUAUUUCAACUAAAUUCAGGCCAACCUGGUGAUCUCAUCUGUAUUCAUACUGUUGUCUGCUGUGUCCAGACCUUCAGCUCCUCUCCUGUCGAACGCACGCAUCAGAUCAGCAUCUAAUAUUACGCAGUUGUCAGCGAGUAGGAUAUUCAUGAUACAUGCUGACACACGACCUCGUUAAAUUGGUGUCUGGCGGCACGCCUCUGUGUGAACGCUCAAUUAACUGGACGCGUCUGCAUCGGCAAUGAGGACGUGGGAUGGGAACUAUUUGCAUAUUUACUUCUAUAAAAAGCAGACAGAAGGGCAGGGUUAUAUUGUGUUACAUCAUCUGAUACCGCUGCGCUGUUGAAUCCUUGAAUCCGAUUGGUCACGGGGUGUUAUAGAAACUAAUAUGUUAGCGUUUCUAUAGUAACAGCUCACUCACAGGGACUUGUACGAUGGACGCACCAUGUAAUCUAAUACUAAUAAUAAAUGAAUAUUUAAAAAACGUGCUGUUAUACUGUAUAACAUAGAACAGCUUACAUAUGUUGAUAUGGUAUAUCUGUUAGAAGUUUAUUUAACAUUUAUUGAAGUAGAUCGUGAUGGAACGGCUGUUUAUACGUGCGAUAGAACUUGUCUCGCGGAUCUUCCACAACAUUAAAUGUAGCUAGAAAUGGUUAAAAAGCACAAUGUGCCAUGACACACCACAUUGUGGAUUAUUUUCCUAUAACGACGUGGCCCGAAAGGUGUUAUUCCUUACGUAAAUAAGAAUGUGAGAGUGUCACCGCUAUCAUCAACACCUUUAUAAUAUAAUUGCUAACUUGUUAUUCAUAGUGAAGUGUUGUUGUUGUUGUUGUUGUUGUUGUUGUUUUCUCACUAAGUGUUUCAUUAUGUUUUCUUUUUCUCGCUUUUUUUUCCUCGUUUUAAAUUAAAAGUCACUUAACUCUUUAGGUAUGUGCUUGGAUUUGAUCAAUACUUUUAUUUUAUAGUGGAAUGAAAUAGUUUAAAAUCCCCAUAUAUUACAAGAAGCCCUUUAUUGUUACAUCUGCACAGAGAG